rnacentral:rRNA from 1 species
UACGUAGGGUGCGAGCGUUGUCCGGAAUUACUGGGCGUAAAGAGCUCGUAGGUGGUUUGUCGCGUUGUCCGUGAAAACUCACAACUCAAUUGUGGGCGUGCGGGCGAUACGGGCAGACUGGAGUACUGCAGGGGAGACUGGAAUUCCCGGUGUAGCGGUGAAAUGCGCAGAUAUCGGGAAGAACACCCGUGGCGAAGGCGGCUCUCUGGGACGGUACUGACGCUGAGACGCGAAAGCGUGGGGAGCGAACAGG